CCUGGCACGCUCCUGCUCGGAUUGUAGCGCAAGGGGUAACCUGAGUGCAAGGAGACCACAGUUCUUGGAACUCUUGCCAAAAUGCCCAACUCAGGUUGUAGCCAGGAUGGGAAUUUGCUGAUGACUAAAGCCAGUCAUCUCACAGCCUUAUGAACAGUGGUCCUAAAGUGAGACCCUUUUGAGCUCUCCUGGCCUGCAGCGGGCUGCGACCAGCAUCUCCCUCUCAGUGGGAUGCCACUCAGAGCUUGCAAACCACCAAGUCUGUGGUACUAGAGGGGCUGUCGUGGAAAGUUGACGAUGAGGCCUGGGUUGACACCCCUGUUCCUCAAGGCUCAACCCUUCACCUACUGAGGAAUGCAAAAGGCAUUGGACAUGAGCAUUUCACUGAACUCAAGGGGGGCUUAUAACAGGUAUACUUUAUUAUAAUAUGCAUUGCAAGCUUGAAGCGUUAGGUUAUUUUUGUGAUUUUAAAAAAGUAUUAUUGAUUUGCUUUGGUGCUAAAGUCCUAUGGAUAAUCUUGAAUUGUGCACAGAUUCUCUCUCUCUCUCCCCUUCCUUCACAUACAAACCGUUGUCCAAGUCUGAGACUAAGAUUGGACCGAGCUGCACCUAUAUUCUAUAAGGGUUUAGAAAGCAAGGGGGUCUAUUCUGAACCUCAUGAGUCAACGGCAGAAUUCCCCUUACUCUUUAUAUUUCUGUAGAUCUAAACUUUUGUCCAGGUCUGAGACUAGGAAAAGAUCCAGAUGCACCUAAACUCUGUGAGAAUUUAGAAAGCAAGGUGGUCCACUCUAAACCUUGUGACUCGACACGACAAUCUCCUUUACCCUCUUACACCUUUGAUCUUUAUAAGCUAUAUAAGCUAUUUCCAACUCUAUUUGACUCAAUUUCAACUUGAUUUAUCUCUGUGCAUUUACUCCAUGCAAUAAGUAAUAGUUGAACCUUGACAUCGAAUCUUGUGCAGAGGCAUUUCCACAUAUUCGUAUUAAACCUAUUUCACUCAAACUCUUUGGUGGUGAUUCUUUAAGCAAUCCAAUCUAAACCACUCCUUUCAUGACAGUGGAACAAUAUACCAAAAAAGGAGCUGAUGAUAAACACUACAUUAGCAGGGAAUGUAAAGGCCCGCUCAGUGAAGUAGUUUAGACACAUGACUGCAGGAAUGAAGUUCACGAUGCUACAUAUCCUCUGCUGCAAAUGGGGAUACCGACUGGGACUAACAGCUGGGAUUCACAACCAAACACUCUUGAAAAGAAAGGAUAAGGAGGAAGAACAGCCAAGCCCAGCUAAAAGGACAGGUCUUGAACCAUGACCUGCUGAAGGGUGCACAAAACCCAUCAUGUACACUACCAAGUGCCAUCCAAGUACCAGCACUGUGGCAAGGGUUGCAUUUCUAUAGCGCCUUCAGCCCAGGUGCAAUAAAUGUUAAUGAAUUUAUCUUUGUAAUACUGAAGUACAGGAAUGUUAUCAUCUUCAGACUACAAAUAAGGACAACGUGACAAGGAAAAGUGCUGUUCUAAAGUGUGUCCUAUAAUGCACAUAUUUAGCCUCUGACAAAACCAGCAGUGAGGGGCAGUUGUGAGAAUUCCCAGUUUCAAAGCUUUAGCAAAUACACCAUGACUAUUCCAAAGCAUAGCACAGUGGCUUAAAAAGAAAAGAGAAGCAGAGGUCUAUUCUAUUAUCAUCCUAUUAAAAGUGAGUUGUACUCAGAUUAUAUGGGAUUUCAGGAUCAAAGUAAAGAUGAUCCAGAAACCUAGCCACUUUUAAUUGCUUUGAAAAUGUAUUUUUAAUUAUAGUACUCUUUCUGCAAGUAUAUCUGCAUUUCCCUUGAACCUCAUUUGAAAACCAUACAAGAGAGUUUUAACAGACGAGGAUUAGAAAGUCAGUAUUUUUAUUAAUAUAAAGUCCAUUCAAAACUGCAAAGUAAGACCCUAUUAACAUUUCUUUCAUCCAUUCAGUAGCUUGUACCAUGCAAACUGGCAUCAUCUGCAGCAUCACUAACAAUCUCAAACACGGGUACCUCCCCACACUAACCAAAUCUGUACAAAUUACCUAACAAGGAGAGUUCAUUGUGAAUUAAGAUACUCAAAUGCUAAAAAACCCCACAUAUCCAGGGACUGUUUCUCCCUAGGAUUCCAUUAAUAGUCUUCUCAAAAAAAAAAGAGAACAUAAUAAAGUAACUGUAAUAAUCACUUUUCUUUAGGGUUUUAUGGCUUGGGAACUUCUACUAAUAAUCUCAAACUAAUCGGCAAACGAUACCAGAAGCAGUGCUGGUUUCUGCGAGGGCUACACAUGCUCAUCAGCUCAACCUGUGUGAUUGUGAGACACCCAGCAAGAUAGCAGGAGGGAUAGGGCAGAUGUCUGCCACUUGUCGACAGGAACCAAUAGCAGGAAGGUCACUGGAUUUUCAUCCAAAUUUCUUCAACUGCUUUCAUGAACCGUAUCCUCUGCCUUUCAUUAUAUAUUCACUUGCAGCCUUUACUGCUUGUCUGCUGCUCCUGGUAUACAUCUGGGUGUUGUCAGGGUCCAUAUAUCUGUCUGAGUACUGCCAACUGUUACCCAUAUGAUUCCAAAACACGACAUUAGAUUUAGAUGUAUCAGAAGAAGAAUCUGAUCCUAUUUCCAGAAAAGUCUACCUAAUUUCUGUUGUGGAUGUCAAAAGGAACUGAUCGCCUGAAGAAGCCAAUAACCUUUUUGUAACAUGCACUUGAAGCCACCUCUUUUUUUUAAGGAAGUCUCAGUUAUUUAGUUCUACCUUAUUUUGACUUAAAAAAAAACGAACAAAGCAAAGAUUAGCAAUUUACGUCUUUGACUCACUGGGUAGCAAUGACUGAAUUGAGUUCUCACUGCUUUGUUGGGAAGCCAUUGAGUUCCUUGAUCCCAUUCUGCUAACAGAGAAAUGAGGCAUGAAACUGGUCAACAUUAUCAUGUUAUUUAGUUUGUUAAAUUUCUCAAGAUUCGUUCAUUCAUUACACUCUUGAGAAUUUAGUCCUGUGUUAAAUCUCGCAUUAUUUUUCUUUCAACAUCUUCAGAAAUAUUUUGAGGUUUUCUAAUUAGUUCUUGAACUUAAAUGAUCUCACAAAUACAUCAGUGCAUCUGCAUCUGAUGAAUCCAUUCCCAAAAUGUCCAUAAGCAGCAAGCACUGAACAAGAGAUGAUAAAUAAAACUUUCCAUUGAUGGACCAAAUUUAGUUGAUGUCUUAAAACACUUUACAAAUAUGGACACGUGAAAUGUUUCUCUUUUUAGAGAUAGGGAAACAAAAGCACAAACUGAUUAAAAAAAUUAGACAAACAAGCAGCAAAGUGUGGAAGAAAGCCCACUUUUCUUGAUUUUCAUCCCAUUAGUCAUUCAAUGCACUAAAUCAGAACAGCCAGACUGAAUUCUGAUCUGGCUCUUAAAUGCUUAUGCAUAUGCAGAAGCAUUUAAAAUUUUCAGUCCUUUUUAAUAAAUUUGAAUAAACAAGUAGCAUAUCAAAAGCCACCUUCUAUACUGAUAGAGCUAAUACUGCUUUCUAUUACAGAUCACAUUUGAGAAUUUAUGUCUGUAUUAUGCCAAAUGAACAAAAAGUAAGAGGACCAUUUUAAGCAGCGCACGCUCUGCCUCAAAGCUUUUAAACCAUGCUUUACCUCAUUUUUCUUCAUGGUCCCAAAUUAAUAAUCUUAGUAUAGAGAAACAUUGCUAAAUGCUUAAUCAUCUGCAUGUACAACACAUUGCAGAUUCAAUGCAUACACACGCGCGUGCACACACACACAUGCAAAACUGAGAACCAUGCCAGUUUCCAGAUGAAAGACUAUCAGUUCAAAGAAGACUCAUGCCAGUACAAAAUCUUCACGUGCCUUGGAUGCUUCCAGAUACCUGAGUUCAAUAAAUAUGUUAACCAAG